rnacentral:rRNA from 1 species
GAUGAACGCUGGCGGCGUGCUUAACACAUGCAAGUCGAACGAAACACCUUAUUUGAUUUUCUUCGGAACUGAAGAUUUGGUGAUUGAGUGGCGGACGGGUGAGUAACGCGUGGGUAACCUGCCCUGUACAGGGGGAUAACAGUCAGAAAUGACUGCUAAUACCGCAUAAGACCACAGCACCGCAUGGUGCAGGGGUAAAAACUCCGGUGGUACAGGAUGGACCCGCGUCUGAUUAGCUGGUUGGUGAGGUAACGGCUCACCAAGGCGACGAUCAGUAGCCGGCUUGAGAGAGUGAACGGCCACAUUGGGACUGAGACACGGCCCAAACUCCUACGGGAGGCAGCAGUGGGGAAUAUUGCACAAUGGGGGAAACCCUGAUGCAGCGACGCCGCGUGAGUGAAGAAGUAUUUUGGUAUGUAAAGCUCUAUCAGCAGGGAAGAAAAUGACGGUACCUGACUAAGAAGCCCCGGCUAACUACGUG